CUAACGAUCCGCGUUUUCUUAAUCCCCUUCUCCCCUUCCCAGAGAAAGUGACACUCAAAAGCACGUUUUGAAUUCCACCUUUCCACGCAAAACCAAAUUGACAAGGCAUUGGUGUACUCGCCCACUUUGUUUCUUCUGUUAACUUCUCUUUCGAUUGGUUUACCAAACUGUUAGAUUUGAGGUUUCUUGCUUGUCUUUCUUUGUGCAUGUUUUGAAGAUAGAAGAGCUGGAAAGAAACUAGUUGUUGUUGCUCAUUGAGGGUUAUAUAAUCGCUUAAUCUUGCCAUUAUUGCGAGUUCGAUAUUCCUGAAUAUAUUGUAAGAUAGUUCUGUGUUUUUUACUGGAUGCUGUGAUUGGCGGGGUUGUUUGUUUUAGUUAUAAUUGGACGUUAAAGGUUCGAACUCGCAAUCUUGAAUGAGGUUUUUUACAAGGAUUUAGGGGGUUAUUAGAAAAUAGAGAGAUUUUGUUGGCAAAUCUGUCAGAAUUUGUGGGUUUAACCAUUGAGGUGUUUAUCGGUGUCAUAUUUGGAAGGAAGAUGGUUGGAAGCAUUACGAAUGCACAUUCAAAUUUUUCUCUUGUGAAUGUAAAUGGUGGUAGUUUAGAAGAAAAGGUUGAUGAGAUUCGUGAGCUUAUUGGGAAAGUGGAGGGUGAUCCAUUAAGAAUAGUUGGUGUUGGAGCUGGUGCUUGGGGCAGUGUAUUUAUUGCUAUGUUGCAGGAAGCUUAUGGUAGUUUGAGAGAAAAGGUUUUGAUAAGGAUAUGGAGAAGACCGGGAAGAGCUGUUGACAGGCCAACGGCUGAACAAUUGUUCAAGGUGAUCAAUUCAAGGGAGGAUGUACUGAGGAGGCUCAUUAGGAGGUGUGCGUAUUUGAAAUAUGUUGAGGCUAGGUUAGGUGAUAGAACACUUCAUGCGGAUGAGAUUUUGAAAGAUGGGUUUUGUUUGAAUAUGAUAGAUACCCCUCUUUGCCCUCUGAAGGUUGUGACAAACCUGCAGGAGGCUGUGUGGGAUGCUGAUAUUGUGAUUAAUGGCUUGCCAUCAACUGAAACUCUAGAGGUCUUUGAGGAAAUUAGUAAGUACUGGAAAGAGAGAAUCACUGCCCCUGUCAUUGUAUCCUUGGCGAAAGGUGUAGAGGCUGAAUUGGGCACUGAGCCUCGGAUUAUAACUCCCACUCUAAUGAUCAAUCGAGCAACUGGAGUACCCUUGGAGAACAUUCUUUAUCUUGGAGGACCCAACAUUGCCUCGGAAAUUUUCAACAAAGAAUAUGCUAAUGCUCGGAUAUGUGGGGCAGGAAAAUGGAGGAAACCGUUGGCAAAGUUUUUGAGGCAGCCUCAUUUUAUAGUGUGGGAUAAUGGUGAUCUUGUUACCCAUGAAAUCAUGGGUGGGUUAAAAAAUGUAUAUGCUAUUGGAGCUGGAAUGGUUGCUGCUUUAACAAAUGAAAGUGCCACCAGCAAGUCGGUAUACUUUGCUCACUGUACUUCAGAGAUGAUAUUUAUCACUCAUCUAUUGGCAGAAGAACCAGAGAAACUUGCAGGGCCACUUUUGGCUGAUACUUAUGUAACUUUGUUGAAAGGUCGUAAUGCAUGGUAUGGACAGAAGUUGGCCAAAGGGGAAUUGAAUCUUGAAAUGGGUGACAAUAUCAAGGGCAAGGGGAUGAUUCAGUUCACCAACAAGGAGGGAAGCCAACUAACUAUAGAUUGCAAAUGGGUGUUUACAAUUAGUUACUAAGCAGAAGGGUUCACGCACUCACAUAUGGCAUUGAUUACUCUGAGCCCUGUUGCUGAGCCAAACUCCGUUAGAGUUCUUUUAUCUCUUGCAGCCACUUUUGACUGGUCCCUAGGACAAUUAGAUGUCAAAAAUACCUUUCUCAAUGGAGAUUUAAUGAAAGAGUAUAUAUGGAAGCCCCUCCAGGAUACGGAGAGAAGUUUGGCACAAAAGUGUGCAAGCUGGUAAUGGGUUAAAACGGUCACCAGGGGCUUGGUUUGAGAAAUUCACCGAGUUUACUUCAAAGUCAUGGGUACGCACAACGCCAAGGUGAUCACACAAUGUUCUUCGAACAUUUACAAGAUAUCCAUAUUAACAGUAUAUGUGGCUGAUAAUAUAAUUCUUGUAGGAGAUCAUGUGUUUGAAAUGAACUGCAUGAAGACAUCAUGUCAAAAACAUUUGAAAACAAGGACCUAGGAUCCUUUAUGUAUUUCCUCGGUAUGGAGGUUACUCAUUUAAAACAGAGGAUUAUGGUGUCACAAAGAAGUAUGUUCUUGAUCUUCUUAAGGAAGCAAGAAUGAGUGAUGUGGACCAGUAGACACUCCAAAUGAUCCCAAUCAUAAGCUUUAUGAUAAGAAGGAAAGAUAUAUAGUUAUACAUUCAUCAUCUCAAAGGCAUCAUGAAGCAGUAUAUGAGAUCCUUAGAUACUUGAUAUUUACUCCAGGCAAGCGUUUAUUCUUUCAGAAGACUCCAUAACAGAAUAUAGAGGUAUAUACUCAUGCACAUUGGAUAGGCUUAGUAACUAAUAGGAGAUUCACUUCUGGAUAUUGUACAUAUGUUUGGGAAAAUCCGGUGCAAAAUAAGAAGCAAAAUGUUGUAGCAAGGAAUUUGUCAGAAGCAAGAAUAUAGAGCUUGGCUAGUGGGAUGUGUGAUAUGCUUUGCUGAAAAUAACUCUUCAAGAGUUUCGGAUGCCCAUAUACAAAUGUCAAGGAAGUCACACUUCAUCAAGCAGAAGAUUGGAGCUAUUUGGUUGUCAUUUGUUACCUCUAACAAACAAAUAUCAGGUGUUUUCACCAAAGUGCUUCCCAAGCCUAGUUUUGAAUAAUUUGUAAGCAAGUUGGACGUGUUAGACCUAUGCUCCGACUGGAGGGAGGUGUCGGAUUUUAGGGAGUUUCUGCUGUUAGGGCCUUCUAUGAGCUACUUAGUCACUCCAGCUUAAACGUCCUAAA